AGUGAACGCUGGCGGUAGGCCUAACACAUGCAAGUCGAACGGCAGCACAGUAAGAGCUUGCUCUUACGGGUGGCGAGUGGCGGACGGGUGAGGAAUACAUCGGAAUCUACUUUUUCGUGGGGGAUAACGUAGGGAAACUUACGCUAAUACCGCAUACGACCUACGGGUGAAAGCAGGGGAUCUUCGGACCUUGCGCGAUUGAAUGAGCCGAUGUCGGAUUAGCUAGUUGGCGGGGUAAAGGCCCACCAAGGCGACGAUCCGUAGCUGGUCUGAGAGGAUGAUCAGCCACACUGGAACUGAGACACGGUCCAGACUCCUACGGGAGGCAGCAGUGGGGAAUAUUGGACAAUGGGCGCAAGCCUGAUCCAGCCAUACCGCGUGGGUGAAGAAGGCCUUCGGGUGUAAAGCCCUUUUGUUGGGAAGGAAAAGCAGCAGGUUAAUACCCCGCUGUUCUGACGGUACCCAAAGAAUAAGCACCGGCUAACUUCGUG
rnacentral:rRNA from 1 species